UGGUAGCAAAGAGAAGAGCCAUCAUAAAAUUAGUACACCAAGGAAGACUGGAUUUGGCAAAAGUAUACGUGUACACGCUCCAAGUGGAAACUACUUUGACUGUGAAGGUCAAGGAGGGUUUUACAUCUUUUAUAAUUUUGGUGCUGGUGGCCAGGUCAACCUCGUGCUGCAGGCUUUAUGAGAAUGACACAGACCAUUUGGAUAGUGCUGUUUGUGUUCAUGGGCAUAUUAGCUGGACAUCCUCCACAUUGCCUACAUUUACAUCCUGAACCUCGGAACGGUAAGGUAUGUGCCCAGCUGGUCAUUGCCUCUUGUGCUUACAGCUUCACAGUGUUGGAUGGAGAGAGACAGCAGCUCCAGAAGAAUGAAUUUACAACAUAUUUCACAUCUGUGUCAGUUGAAAGUGGUUGCCUCCUCACCUUGAGACUGAAACAUUUGGGCCCUCAACCUUUUGAAUCUUUUGAUGUCUUUACUACUGGCACCCAUACGGAUCUGGGAUCAGUGGCUGACAGCACCCUAAGAGAGUUUAGCUGCAGUUGCAGACUGCUUGGUCGGGUGAAGAGAACUGAGAAAUUGCUCAAAAACUUUAAGUAAAGAGAGACCCUGGCACAGACUCUCAGUUCUCGACUCAAGCGAUGAAGGAAAGACAUGUUCUACAGAGCAAAAGAAACAUCUUUACUUAAUAAAUGGAUAUGAUUUCAAACAUA